UACAGAGGGGGCAAGCGUUGCUCGGAAUUACUGGGCGUAAAGCGCGUGUAGGCGGGUCGGAAAGUCGGGCGUGAAAUCCCCAGGCUCAACCUGGGAACUGCACUCGAAACUUCCGGUCUAGAGUGGUGGAGAGGGAAGUGGAAUUCCUGGUGUAGAGGUGAAAUUCGUAGAUAUCAGGAGGAACACCAGUGGCGAAGGCGGCUUCCUGGACACCAACUGACGCUGAGACGCGAAAGCGUGGGGAGCAAACAGG
rnacentral:rRNA from 1 species